rnacentral:lncRNA from 1 species
UUGUAUGUAUUACAAAAAAAUUCCACCAGAGCUCCAGUGUCCUCUCUUUCACCCAAUUCACUGCGGAUGGUUGCUACUGCUAUGCAUUGUCUUCGAUUGACUUUUGAUUCCGAUGACUCCAUCGAUCUUCAGGUACCACCGCCGUUCCUAAUUUCGCCUUAUUUUUUUGACGGAGUAUUGGAUUUUAAGGGCAACGUAUAGUUUUCUAAUAAGCGGACAGCCCCUUUUAUUAUCUUAGAAUUUCAAAAUUAGAGUGCGGGGAGAGGACUGUUGCUCUUCCUAAUAUCUCUACUCCUCAAUCAUGUUUGUGCUGUUAAAUUUAUGUUUCCUUGUUAGUCUAGUUAAUUGUUUUCUCAAAUUUCAGUUUCACUUUGAAAGAAGAUCUGGGAUUGAGCACCCAUUAUGGGGGGCAAUGGACUUCAAUAAGUUUCUGGGAAUAGGUUUAGUUGGUUCCAUAUGUCACCCAACUAGGCAUUGAUCCUUCAUCAUAUGCAAACCCUCGUGUAUCAUAUUGUCUUUAAAUUUUGUUUCCUUGUCAUGUACAAAAAUAUUGAUUGACCAAAAUAGUUUGAGGUGAAAAGAAGCUUAAGGGAUAUAUUGCAGAUUGUCUAGGAACCUGACUACUAGGUUUCAUAAUUCAUAUAACGUAGGUAUAAUGACAAAUAUAUGUUACAUUGAGAUAUUCAUGUAGGGAUAUAUUUAUCAUUAUCGUGAUUGGUUGGAAUAGUUCUUUUCAAGAAAAUGUAAGCAAGGUAUAGAACUCAAGCUUUUUGCAAAAGUUGGCUUUAUAGUGUUAAUAAAAAAGAUUGUAGAGAUUUGAUUCUUUAUAAUGUGGAUCUGACUACGUUGCAAGCUCUAUUACUAGAAGUCUUAGACUUAUCAGCAUAAGUGGUGUUGCUGCGUGAAUAUGUCCAAUGCAAAUUCUGUGAAUAAUUUUUGAUUGAAAUGUAGUCAAAAUCUUGUGGGGAUUGGCUUGUAAUGCACAUCCAAAUCAACUAGAUAAAAUAUCCGGAACAGGAAUCUGCAAUGUUUUAGUUGGGCUUCUUCUACCCUGAUGAUUAUUUAGGUGUGCCCUGUAUUAUGCUCCGGUGUUGCAGUUUUCGUUACUGAGGAUGUCUUUCAUCUAUCUGUCACUUGCAGUAGUCCUGCCAGUUUGUUCUUUCACCUCUUGCAUAUCUCCUUUCUACUGAAUUCUGAUUAAUAAUUCUCCAAGGACUAUUAUUGUACUCUCUCAUCUGUUUUUCCUGUGUAUUUGCCAUUCCUCUGUCAAUUCUUGUUAGAAGUCCUGUGGUAACCCAUACCUGAGGUUUAUCUACAUUAUUUUUAAGUAUCUGUAUUUGCAUGAUAUACAAUGAUUGUCCAUAAGCCAUUUCUAUUCAUCAUAUCUAUUUUUAUUUUCUUUUGUGAAAAUAAUUCAGUCACUGGAAGUUUGGAAUGCAAAGAAGACUGGUAAGGUGGAUGUCAUCACUAUUAUGACCAAAUCCAACAAAAGCUUAUCUUUUUCUGCUGAAUAUGAAGUGCUAUUUUCUUUUAUAAUCCGUAUUGUCAUAGUCCAUAAGAUAAGUACUAGCUUGUAGCAAACCUUUGUUCUUUCGUACUCUCUUGUUAAUUUUGAUACCUCAAAACUGUUCAGAUUUUGGAGCAGCUGGAGAAAGUAACAAGCAAAAGUUGAUUAAGGACAGUGAUCCAUUAUGAAAAGAGCUAUGGCUAGAAUGCGA